rnacentral:rRNA from 1 species
AUUGAACGCUGGCGGCGUGCUUAACACAUGCAAGUCGAGCGGAGCGGCGAACGGGUGAGUAACGCGUGAGUAACUGCCCCCCUCUCUGGGUUAACAGCUGGAAACGGCUCCUAAUACCGGACAGUGGGGGAUGACUCGCGUCCUAUCAGCUUGUUGGUGGGGUAGUGGCCUACCAAGGCGACGACCGGUAGCCGGCCUGAGAGGGCGACCGGCCCCAUUGGGCUGGGGUACGGACCAAACUCCUACGGGGGGCAGCGGUGGGGAAUAUUGCACAAUGGGGGAAACCCUGAUGCAGCAACGCGCGUGCGGGAUGAAGGCCUUCGGGUUGUAAACCGCUUUCAGCCAUGACGCGGUAGUGGCAGAAGAAGCACCGGCUAACUACGUGCCAGCAGCCGCGGUAAUUC